rnacentral:lncRNA from 1 species
AUGAUUUAUAUUUUGGCGCAAUUUUGUGCAGCGCGUCACUGUGCGCGACCAUCACAGAAACCAUUGCCCAGCGCGAUUCCACCACGGUUCCUUAAUCCCUCACCUUUAAAAAAAAAAACAGCACCUCAUUACAUUAAAAAGGCACUUUUAAGAGCCACAUUUGUCUUGUAUCUUGUUACUCUCUUUACUGUUGUAUUGUUUUCUCUCUCUUGCUGUCUUACUGUCUCCCCCCCCAUUCCUCUGAGUGUGGUUUUUGUUUGUUUGUUUUGUCUUUUUUUUUGUCUGUGUGUUUAUAGUGUGUUUAUCUUUUGUGCCAUGUCUGAUCCUGAGAUGGACUGUCUCCUAAAUGAGAUGAGUGACCUUGUCGAUCAGGCUGAACAUCAAGCUCACCUCCAACAGCUCAUUAGCAUGCACCAGGAAGCAGAACCAUCCACCAGUCAGCCUUCCACCCGUAAUCCAUCCACCAGCCAGCCAUCAAACAGCAAGCAAGAUGUUAGGUGGAUUAAGAGGGACAGUGAUGGAAACAUUAUUUACAUUAUUUACAUUAUUAUUUACAGCAGAUCAUCCCGGAAACAAGCAGGUCCCAGUCACAGCCAGAGUCGAAAGACUGGUGUCUCUCAUAUCAGGGCUCCGGAAACCAGUGCGGAAAUGACCAGUGACUUUCUUUCCAUUACUGCAGAGUCCUUCCUUCAAGAGCUUAAAAGCUCAUUGUUUGAGGACAUACAUGAGGAUGAAACGGCACUUCAAGCCUCAACAGACUGGUUGACCCGAAAGAGCCUCAUAUCAGGGUGGUGGGAGAAAGAGAGACCCCGACUGGUCAACAUGUGGCAAAACGGAUCUGCCAACAUUGUGGAAAUGGUCCAGCCGUUAUCCGUUGUUGUGACUGCCGACCACACCCAUUCCUCUGUGGCCAGUGUGAUGUCAGGGUCCACCGAGGUCACGUGUUCCACAACAGGGAUUCGAUGA